UAACACGUGAGUAACCUGCCCUUGAACUAUGGGAUAAGCCCGGGAAACUGGGUCUAAUACCGGAUAGGAGCGCCUGUCGCAUGACGGGUGCUGGAAAGAUUUUUUCGGUCAUGGAUGGACUCGCGGCCUAUCAGCUUGUUGGUGAGGUAACGGCUCACCAAGGCGACGACGGGUAGCCGGCCUGAGAGGGUGACCGGCCACACUGGGACUGAGACACGGCCCAGACUCCUACGGUAGGCAGCAGUGGGGAAUAUUGCACAAUGGGCGGAAGCCUGAUGCAGCGACGCCGCGUGAUGGAAGACGGCCUUCGGGUUGUAAACC
rnacentral:rRNA from 1 species